UGGGGAAUAUUGCACAAUGGGCGAAAGCCUGAUGCAGCAACGCCGCGUGAGGGACGACGGCCUUCGGGUUGUAAACCUCUUUUAGCAAGGAAGAAGCGAAAGUGACGGUACUUACAGAAAAAGCGCCGGCUAACUACGUGCCAGCAGCCGCGGUAAUACGUAGGGCGCAAGCGUUAUCCGGAAUUAUUGGGCGUAAAGAGCUCGUAGGCGGUUUGUCGCGUCUGCUGUGAAAACCCGAGGCUCAACCUCGGGCCUGCAGUGGGUACGGGCAGACUAGAGUGCGGUAGGGGAGAUUGGAACUCCUGGUGUAGCGGUGGAAUGCGCAGAUAUCAGGAAGAACACCGAUGGCGAAGGCAGAUCUCUGGGCCGUAGCUGACGCUGAGGAGCGAAAGGGUGGGGAGCAAACAGGCUUAGAUGACCCUGGUAGUCCACCCCGUAAACGUUGGGAACCUAGUUGUGGGGUCCAUUCCACGGAUUCCGUGGACGCAGCUAACGCAUUAAGUUCCCCGCCUGGGGAGUACGGCCGCAAGGCU
rnacentral:rRNA from 1 species